AUGGAGCUCAGUCCUUGCACGGGCAGCUCUCCCAGGACAAAACCCUUGCCUGAUGCCCACUGGAGACGUGGGGUUGGCUCUUACAGAAGCGUUGCUGCCAGGGAAGUUUUCCAGUCCCACCCCCUGAGACCUUUUACAGCCCCGAGUUCGGCUCAGGGGACGGCGCAGCCUCAUCCCCAUCCCUCCUGGCUCAGCCGGGUGCCACGUGAGGGCUCCCAGGUGAUGAAAGCAAAACGGCAACGCUUAGCACGGGGAAUGCUCCCGCUGCUGCCCGGCACGUUUGAGGAACCGGAGGCUUUGCCCGCACAGGCCGGAGCUGGUGAUUCACCUGCAGCGGGAGCAGCGUUCAAAGCAGAGGCAGCGCCGGGGAGGAGCCGGGGCCGCGCUGGGCAGCGCCGGGAGCCGCCACCUGCCCGUUCCGCCUUGUUUUUCGCAGCCCAGAUCAGAAGAAACGUCAUCUUUGUUCUGGCUUCCCUCUCCCAGGGCUCCGGCGCCGAGGGCAGGGUGGAGCGAGCCCCGCGCCCGCCGGGGCCCUGCCCGUGCUUGUGCCGCGAGCACGCGCCCCGCGUCUCACUGGGCUGCCUGCCCGCUGCGCCCGUGUUCUUCGCCCUUCCCAAGGACGGCCGUGCUGAUGGCACCGUGCCGUGGGUCCGGCUGUCCUCCGGGAGGAGCUGCUGGUGGCGUGGGGAGACGUGGAGCCUGGCUGAGCCCGCUCUGAGCAGCGUUUGCUCCCACCCGCUGCGGUGCCGGGGGGCGAAGGGGUGCAGUCGUGCGUUUUGGAGGUUUUUGUGUGUGAGGGGAGAUGUGAAGUGGUGUGGGCGCAGCACCUGGAUCUGGGUGGUGAGGUUUGGGCGCAGCAGCUCCUCUUGGGGUUUGCUUGUUUGGUGCCUUGGUGAGGCUGGAGCUGCGCCCCCGUGGGCUGCCUUGGGAUCCCUGAUCCAGAGCUCCUGGAUCUCAGAGGGUUUUUUUUUUGCUCCUUUCCAGUAUCAGGCUGCUGCCAUAAAUGACCAAACUUUGCUCUUAGAACUCCCAGAAAACAGGAAAAAAACAACAGAAAGGGAAAAGCAUCACAGAGGAAGCACAGCAGGAAGCAUGGGUCUUGUACCAGGGUCACGCAUUUGGGCGUGCUCAGCACCGCCGUCAGCUGGCUGUGAGCUCACCCCACAAGCUGUGCACCCCUUCUCCUCCCCAUUCAGAGCACAGAAACCCUUCUGGAAAGCCCCCACAGCGUUGUCACCACCUUCCUGGCAUGUUCCCAGAGCUCCCCGUUGA
rnacentral:lncRNA from 1 species